CAUUACAGAGACUCUGCCCUUUGGGUAGACCUCCCACCCUGUGUCGUUAUACCUUCGUUGCUUUGGCGGGCCGCGGGGCUCCGGCCCUGCCCCUGGCUCCGGCUAGGGCGCGCCCGCCAGAGGACUCCCAAACCUGAAUGUUAGUGUCGUCUGAGUACUAUAUAAUAGUUAAAACUUUCAACAACGGAUCUCUUGGUUCUGGCAUCGAUGAAGAACGCAGCGAAAUGCGAUAAGUAAUGUGAAUUGCAGAAUUCAGUGAAUCAUCGAAUCUUUGAACGCACAUUGCGCCCCUUGGUAUUCCGGGGGGCAUGCCUGUUCGAGCGUCAUUACAACCCUCAAGCUCUGCUUGGUCUUGGGCGUCACCGGUCCCCGGUGUGCCUCAAAAUCAGUGGCGGCGCCGUCUGGCUCUAAGCGUAGUACAUACUCUCGCUACAGACGCCCGGCGGAUGCUGGCCAGCAACCCCCAAUCUAUCAAGGUUGACCUCGGAUCAGGUAGGGAUACCCGCUGAACUUAAGCAUAUCAAUAAGCGGAGGAA
rnacentral:misc_RNA from 1 species